GCUGGGUGUGGUAGCGCAUGCCUGUAGUCCCAGCUACUUCGGAGGCUGAGGCAGGAGGAUUACUUGAGGCCAGGAGGUCAAGGCUGUAGUGAACCAUGACUGUGCCACUGCACUCCAGCCUGGGUGACAAAGGGAGACCCUGUCUCAA
rnacentral:SRP_RNA from 1 species